rnacentral:rRNA from 1 species
GGACCCGCACAAGUAGUGGAGCAUGUGGUUUAAUUCGAAGAUACGCGCAGAACCUUACCAACACUUGACAUGUUCGUCGCGACUUUAAGAGAUUAAAGUUUUCGGUUCGGCCGGACGAAACACAGGUGCUGCAUGGCUGUCGUCAGCUCGUGUCGUGAGAUGUUGGGUUAAGUCCCCGCAACGAGCGCAACCCUCACUUUUAGUUGCCAUCAUUAAGUUGGGCACUCUGAAAGAACUGCCAGUGAUAAGCUGGAGGAAGGUGGGGAUGACGUCAAGUCCUCAUGGCCCUUACGUGUUGGGCUACACACGUGCUACAAUGGUACUUACAAUGGGAAGCGAAGAGGCGACUCUAAGCUAAUCCCUAAAAUGUGUCUCAGUUCGGAUUGUACUCUGUAACUCGAGUGCAUGAAGCUGGAAUUGCUAGUAAUCGC